rnacentral:rRNA from 1 species
UACAGAGGGUGCAAGCGUUAAUCGGAAUUACUGGGCGUAAAGGGCGCGUAGGUUGUUAUUUAAGUGAGAUGUGAAAUCCCCGGGCUUAACCUGGGAACUGCAUCUUAUACUGGGUAACUGGAGUGCAAUAGAGGGUAGUGGAAUUUCCGGUGUAGCGGUGAAAUGCGUAGAUAUCGGAAGGAACACCAGUGGCGAAGGCGGCUACAUGGAUUGACACUGACACUGAGGCGCGAGAGCGUGGGGAGCAAACAGG